UCUAACUUUUGUUCCUUUUCAUCAUGGGGCAUCUGUCUCUUUGUUAGCUGUCCAGUAGAUGCAUUGCACAGAUUUUCUCAAACUUAUUUCAAUUCCCAACACAUAAAAAGACAAUGCUCAUAUCCUGUUUUUCCAUGAUACGUUCAUUCUCCCUGAAGAUUUAAUUUUAUUGCCCAUUGUAGUAUUUUCCUAUUUCCUUUUAAGUCUGUGAAUACAGACUCAAUAAUUGACUUGUACCAGUUUUCUAUCUGUUAUGCAAAUUCUGGGGCAAUUUCCUCCCAAAUGAUGGACUUGAGGUGAUCAAUCUAUCACAUGUCUUCGAGCAAUGCUCUCUUCUCUGGUUACAAUCAGGAGUGGGCUGAGGGAACCCAGAGAUUUUUGAAGAAGGAGAUUUAUGUCAUGAGAGAAGACUCUGGUAGGGAAAACAUGUCCCAGUGAAAACUUCUUUCAUGUUUCUGCUGAGAGGUUUUUUGUUGUUGCUGUUGUUGUUGUAAAGCAGCUAAGUUAUAAUUUUUACCAAAAUUUAAUUACAUUCAGAGAGUAAACAUCUGGAAAUCAUCCUGAGUAAUCAGCGUGAACUCAUAUGGUGAAUCAGAGGCUUAUAUUAUAUGCCAGGGUUUAGAGAUUACAAUCUUAAUGAUCUGUACAUUAUUCAUAGGUCUUUGUUUUAAAGCUGUCUGUAAGAAAUAAUUAGAAUUCAAGCCAUUCAUGAAACAGGAAACUUGCCACUUUAUUUCUUACUUGAUUUCUUACACAUAAGCACAUCUCCCUCCGGGCGGUGGGGUUGUUAGAAGAAAGAGUUAAGUAUUGGUUUGUUUUUGGUGUGUAUGCUUUUUUCUUUACUUCAUUCAAUUUGUGAAAUUUAAGAAGCAGUAGGGAUCCUAAGUCAGGCAAGUAAGCUGGAAAACAAUAAAACUUGAAAACUACCCAGGCGUGAAAUCCCCUUGAACUAAGGAAUGCUUCCAACAUUGUGUUCUUCAUAAGCAUGAACAAUGAAUGAUAACAUUUCAAAAUUAGUUUUUGAAGGGAGGUGCAUAAUAGGAAACUUGAUCAUCUAAAAUCAGCCAAACCCACCUUCUUACGAACCUCCGAGAAUAGCCUAUCCCCCUACCCAGUAUGACCUAAAAAUAACAGAUUACAUCUCAUCCCCAAAGUAACUUGGCUUGAGCUCAAGAAUUAAUACAUACAUGACACUCAGAAUGGCAUCCAAAAAAAGAAGUGGCAUUCUCUUUCUUGUGAGCUGUCACAGUGCGGUAAGCCUCCCUGGCUCUGUAAUCCUAAUUAAUGUUCGUUGUCUUCACUGCGUUUGGUGUGAAAAAUGUGGAGCGGGAACACUCUUGAGUGGGAAUCAGGCUCUCAAGAGGCUGCCGUUUGAGAAGGUGGACGUCAUAUUUCAGACCUCCAACCAUCUAUGCUGUCACAGUCAUGACGAACAGAAGGCACUGAGACUCCCAGGACCAACUAUCAACCAUCAUCUUCGUUGCCUUUGUGACAGCUGCUCUGAGGGGGAAGAAAGUGCACUUCCUAGAGAGAGAUGACCUUUGCAAAGUGGAGCUAUUUGUAAGGACUUCUGUUUCUCCGGGGGAUUUUUUUUCUCACUCAGAAGGAUCAACCACAAAGAUUCAGUCCAGGAGGUGCCCUCCCACAAACUGCCAUGCCAGUGAAUGGGCCCCAUUCUGUAGUGUCUGAGGAAUGUGUAUCCUUUCUUGAUAUCAAUCCAGUAAAUCAGAGUUUCCUCCAAAUUCGUUUUUUGGUUUUUUUUUUUUUUUUUAAUUAAACUAAGUGUCUACUGAGGACAGAAAUAGGAUUGGUGAUAAAUGUCACUGAGAAAACAGUUCAAUACGAAGAACUUCCUAACAAUCAGAGCUGUUCAAGUUAAAAAAAAAAAAAUAGCCUGCCAUUUGGAGGAAUUGAGGUCCCUGUGAAAAGAGACAGUCAAGAGAAGGCUCUCACAGCUUAUUGGGGUGACUGUCUAAUUAUGUCAACUUUUAUCUCCUUCAAUGCACUGUAGUCAUGCUGAGGCCAGGUUUUUUGUUUUGUUUUACUUUGUCUUGUUUUUGGAUUUCUGGACACACUGAAGAUACUCAAUAAAUGCAUUUUUAUGAAUGAAAGAAUAACACAGGGGGACCCUGCAUUCAUUGAGUGGGACAUUGGACAGAGAAACUUUAAGAGAUAUUAAUUGUGAAAUUCUUGGAAAAGUUCACUGUCCUGCGGAAAAGCAAAUUCAGUGGUAAAGGUGCGAUGUCAUAGUGAAUGUUUUGCAAUUUUUUACAACUCUUGACUACCUCUAGAUUGUUGUCAAUUCCUUCCUUCAAUUCUCUACUUAGACUACUUUCUUCCUAAUUUCAGGCACCAACUUCAUACUUGGACGUCCUGGAAGUAAGAAAUCAUUCUUUUUAUUGCACAAUGUGUAAUAUUUCAAAGAGCCAUACUGCCAAAUCAUCUCGUACCAGAAUGAGCCACAUACUGAUUGCAAAAAAGACUUGAUUACAAAAACUUUGAAGUUUCACAGUAUAGCAAAUAACGACAACUUUGUUAACUUCUGGAUUCUACAAUACUUGUUUGCUUCAUAUAGAAUAUACUUGAAUUUCCUAUCAUUCUA